GGGACACGUGGUAUCCUGUCUGAAUAUGGGGGGACCAUCCUCCAAGGCUAAAUACUCCUGACUGACCGAUAGUGAACCAGUACCGUGAGGGAAAGGCGAAAAGAACCCCGGCGAGGGGAGUGAAAAAGAACCUGAAACCGUGUACGUACAAGCAGUGGGAGCACCUUCGGGUGUGACUGCGUACCUUUUGUAUAAUGGGUCAGCGACUUAUAUUCUGUAGCAAGGUUAACCGUAUAGGGGAGCCGCAGGGAAACCGAGUCUUAACUGGGCGUUAAGUUGCAGGGUAUAGACCCGAAACCCGGUGAUCUAGCCAUGGGCAGGUUGAAGGUUGGGUAACACUAACUGGAGGACCGAACCGACUAAUGUUGAAAAAUUAGCGGAUGACUUGUGGCUGGGGGUGAAAGGCCAAUCAAACCGGGAGAUAGCUGGUUCUCCCCGAAAGCUAUUUAGGUAGCGCCUCGU
rnacentral:rRNA from 1 species